CUCCCUGUGGCUCAGUUGGUAGAGCAUGGUGUUUGCAACGCCAGCAUGGUGUGUGCAACGCCAGGGUUGUGGGUUCGAUUCCCACGGGGGGC
rfam:Salmo salar isolate Sally breed double haploid chromosome ssa03, whole genome shotgun sequence.